UGGGGUAUGCAGCAUAACUGUAAAAUCCAGAGACUCACAAGAUCUGUGAGAACAUAUCUAAACUGACAGGAGAGGUGUCAUUGCCCUCUGGAACUUUCUAAUUUUGUCACACAUGUUACAAUGUAAAUUAUGGGUAAACAAGAGAGAGCUUUUCAAUUUUAAAUUAGAGUUUGUUAGGCCCAGUGGGAACUCUCACCGUGUUCUGAGGUAGGAUAAGAAGUAAGUUAUCUGGUUACUUCAGGAGUUUUACUAUUUGAUGACGGAGAACCCAGCUACCAAGACAGAAAUUAAUCCAGAAGAGGGAAAAGCUAAUUUUCACUGACUUUCCAUAUCACAGUCACUGAAUGACAAUGAUGAAACCAGCAAUAUGUGUAUUGGGUGUCUGUCCAAAGUAGAGUGGUACACAUUCCAUAUGCUUUUGCUGAGGUUAUCAUGAGAACUUUUUAUUUUUGAAAUUUUUAAUGAGCUUUAGUUGCUAACAGUCAAAGAAAAAAAUGUUAAUGGCAGACAGUUUCUCCCACGGGCAGGUUAAUUUUUGUAAUGCCUUUCCUCAAAUUGUGGAAGAUGACAGUUUCAUUGUUUAAGGAACAAGUGUCAAUAUAAGAAAUUGAAAAGAUGAAUAUGUUUAUGCUGAUUUUAACCACCUUUUGACAUGUGCUUACUUACUGAUUAGAGCAACAGGGAUAUACACACCUCCUUCACGCUUUCCAGUCUCAGAACUGACAGGUAAGAGAUCCUGGAUGUUACUGUCUCCUUUUUGUAUCUGGACUGCAUCCUGUUUCUGUUACUCUGUGCAGCUACUUGAUCCACAGGACAGCAGAAAGGAAUGCUACCAUCCUCCCUUUGCUGUCCCUCAUGCUGACUGCCUGCAGAUGUCAGCCAUCUGUCUGUCCCACCCUCCUGGCAAACGGGGAGGCUGCAGCCCAAAGUGCCUGAGGUGGGCAGGAAUGCUGCCCUCAGCCAGGAGCUGCAAGCAGAAAGAAAACGUAUGGAUGGCUACAGUCCCCAAAAUUGGUCCCAAAAGGAAUUUACUUCAGACAGACUAUUUGUAGUAUGCAAAGUCAUAUUGACUGGUUCAGUUCACUGUAUCCAAUGAAAACAAGUGGAGAUAAGGGACUGUACAUGAAUCAUACACCAAUGCAGACCAGUGCAGCAGAAGCCUGAAGUUUUAAUGCAACGAAACCAAGGAAAACAGCUGUUGUGGAGCCAAGGAAAGACUUCCUUUUGAUGUAAUCCUCAAUGUUGUUAAUCAAAGGUGCAAGGAGCCCACUCUUGGGUUACUGUGGGAAGUGACAUGAUGGUCCUGCCUCUGGGGCUGCAGGAAUAAGGAAUGGGUCCUCUCUGCAUCCACAAAGGUCAGGGAACACAAGAAGGAAAAUGCCACUGCCUUUAGCCAGAAAGACCUUUCUGAAAAUCAGUCACAUGAGAGAUUUGAUAUUUAACCUCUGUGUGCAUUUGCCCUGCCGGAUGGUCAAAGACUGGGAAGGAAAAUUGUCCAGCCAUGGCUUGGUCCCAGGUUCAUCAACACUUGGCCUUGCCUCACCUGUGCUCCAUACAAAUGCUGCUUGGCCAAGGAACUGAGGGACACAGGGCCCUCACCAGCCUGGUUUGGCUCCCCUGUGCUGCUCGCUCGGCUGGCCGUGCUGUGCCACUGACAAGAACAUGUCUGCUCACAUCGGCUCCUUCCCGGCGCCAGGGCCUGCGCCCUCACACUGCCCACGCCUCAGUGCAGAGCAGAUCUGAUUUCUUUGGUGAGUUUUAAGUGAACAAAUACUUCAGGCUCAGACCACCCUAUAUAUUUAUACACUUUAUGCAGUAUACUGAUUUAUCAUUGAGAAUUUCUUAGUAGAACAAAAGUGGAUAACAGUAUAUGUCAUGGGUAAGAACUAUUGACCGCAGUAUGACCAGUCAUUGCAGUUUUCAUAUGGGAGCUUGGCUAGGUUUCAAGGUCUGGCUGUACAGCACUCUCUGCAUAUGACACGCUACCAUUUAUUACAAAAAAAUGCCAGCCCAUGGUGCUAAUACUCACUGCUAGUUUUUAAAGAUAGGAAAAGCUAGAUUAACAUAAGGUUUUGAAGCACAAACAUGACAAUUUCUAAUGUAUACAAGUAUGUUGUCCAGCACACAACUUCCUAACUCUAUUCCCUAACAAUAACAGUGUUGCUGUUUGGAUCAUUAAAAAAAAAGAAAAAAAAUCACAAAAAGUCAGACACAGAAUUGUAAAAGUUAUUGUGUUUCGUAUGAGAUAAAUUCUGUCCGGAGCAAUGAAGUCCCAUUUUCAGUUGAAUUACAGUAUUUUACAAAUGUCAUAAAUGUGAAUAUGUUAAAAGCAGAGAAGUUUAAGGUACCAUUGUGUACUUAAGUGAUAAACAAUUGUGAACAAACUUGCCAAGGUCCAGCACUUCAGAGUAGCUAGAUAACACUGAGCAACACAAAGCAAUAAAGCCAAAUGCUCUGUACUGAUACUUCAAACUCUAUAUGCACUUAUGUCAACACACAGAGAACAGUAUCUCAUCUGUAGUAAUGCAUUUAGACAAAACAAGUGUUUGGGAAACCUACACUGGAUGCAAGUGAUGCUUUAAAAGCAAUCAUAAAAAUGAGAAUGUAAACCAAAUUCUAUCUGUCCAUGGAGACAAAAAAGAUGACAAUUUUUAUAGGAUUACUAGAUUAAUAGGUGAUUCUGAUUUUCCCACUGUUGUUGUUUUAUUCUACCUUGCUAUCUCUCUCUCCCUUACCAUCAACAGGGCAUCCAAGCCAGGAAUGCAAAGUGUUCUUCACAAGUAAUUGUGCUGGGCUAUGAAAGCAUCAUGUUAAUCUGCACACGUACUUCUUUCCUACACUGAUGAGCUUGAGAGAGCUGGUGCUAUGAAGAUUAAGGGAUGUCUGUGCAUUACUUUCAACAUACAAGUCUGCUAGAAGUUUUUGCUGUUGCUCAUUUUGAAUGUCUUAUAUAUAGUACAUUCCUUCCAGGAAUAUAUCAGAAGAGUUGCUUUGAGAAAUACAAACAAUUCUCCAUCUUUCCCAGAGUCCUGUCUCUGAAAAUAGCCAAAACCAGAAGACCAGGGAGGAAUGACAGAACAGGAGAAGCAUACAGUUGUGCUUUUCAGGAGGAUCUCCAAGGACCAGGAACCUGUACUUAGGGCAUUUCUAAGACAACAGUCUUAGAACUGUCUUUAGUAGGUGACAGCUGAAUCCACAUGUCCAUGUCUGCAACCUGUGACUGCAUGGCACUCACAUCAUCUUAAUUUAGUCCUGAUAAAAUUAAUCUGACACCUCUGAGUAAACGUUUAUUCACCAGUGUCCUGGUUUGGUCUGGAAUAAAGUUAAUUUCUUCCUAGUAGCUGAUAUAGUGCUGUGUUUUGGAUUUAGGAUGAGAAUAAUGUUGAUAACACACUGAAGCUUUAGUUGUUGUUAAGCAGUGUUUAUACUAAAUCAAGAACUUUUCAGAUUUUCAUACUGCCCUGCCAGCAGAGACUGGGAGCACACAUGAUGCUUGGAGGAGGCACAGAAAGGACAACUGACCCUAACAAGCCAAAGGGUAUUCCAUACCAUAUGACAUCAUGCUCAGUAUAUAAACUGGGGAGAGUUGACCAGGGGGCACCAUGGCUCAGGGACCGGUUGGGAAUUGGUCAGCAGGUGGUAAGCAAUGUAUUGUGCAUCAGUUGUUUUGUAUAUUCUAUUAUUACUAUUAUUUUCCUGUCUUUUUCUGACAUAUUAA